CCUACGGGAGGCUGCAGUGGGGAAUAUUGCACAAUGGGGGAAACCCUGAUGCAGCGACGCCGCGUGAGUGAAGAAGUAUUUCGGUAUGUAAAGCUCUAUCAGCAGGGAAGAAAAUGACGGUACCUGAAUAAGAAGCCCCGGCUAACUACGUGCCAGCAGCCGCUGUAAUACGUAGGGGGCAAGCGUUAUCCGGAUUUACUGGGUGUAAAGGGAGCGUAGACGGCAGCACAAGUCUGGAGUGAAAUGCCGGGGCUUAACCCCGGAACUGCUUUGGAAACUGUGCAGCGAGAGUGCAGGAGAGGUAAGUGGAAUGCCUAGUGUAGCGGUGAAAUGCAUAGAUAUUAGGAGGAACACCAGUGGCGAAGGCGGCUUACUGGACUCUAACUGACGUUGAGGCUCGAAAGCGUGGGUAGCAAACAGGAUUAGAUACCCUUGUAGUC
rnacentral:rRNA from 1 species